rnacentral:rRNA from 1 species
UACGAAGGGGACUAGCGUUGUUCGGAAUUACUGGGCGUAAAGCGCACGUAGGCGGAUUUGUAAGUCAGGGGUGAAAUCCCGGGGCUCAACCUCGGAACUGCCUUUGAUACUGCAAAUCUCGAGUCCGAUAGAGGUGGGUGGAAUUCCUAGUGUAGAGGUGAAAUUCGUAGAUAUUAGGAAGAACACCGGUGGCGAAGGCGGCACACUGGAUCGGUACUGACGCUGAGGUGCGAAAGCGUGGGGAGCAAACAGG